rnacentral:rRNA from 1 species
UACGGAGGGUGCAAGCGUUAUCCGGAUUCACUGGGGUUAAAGGGUGCGUAGGCGGAUUCUUAAGUCCGUGGUGAAAUCUCCAAGCUUAACUUGGAAACUGCCAUGGAUACUAUUAGUCUUGAAUGUUGUGGAGGUUAGCGGAAUAUGUCAUGUAGCGGUGAAAUGCAUAGGUAUGACAUAGAACACCAAUUGCGAAGGCAGCUGGCUACACAAAUAUUGACGCUGAGGCACGAAAGCGUGGGGAUCAAACAGG